AUGGUAGGAUAGAGGCCUACCAUGGUGGUAACGGGUAACGGGGUGUUAGGGCACGACACCGGAGAGGGAGCCUGAGAAACGGCUACCACAUCCAAGGAUGGCAGCAGGCGCGCAAAUUACCCAAUCCCGACACGGGGAGGUAGUGACAAUAAAUAACAAUACGGGGUUCUUUAGGAUCUCGUAAUUGGAAUGAGUACAAUUUAAAUUUCUUAACGAGGAACAAUUGGAGGGCAAGUCUGGUGCCAGCAGCCGCGGUAAUUCCAGCUCCAAUAGCGUAUAUUAAAGUUGUUGCAGUUAAAAAGCUCGUAGUUGAAUUUCGGGGUCAGUAGGUCGGUCGUGCCACUGGUAUGAACUGGUUUUACUGAUUCCUCCCUCUUGAAGAACUGUAAUGCCAUUAAUUUGGUGUUGCAGGGAAUCAGGACUGUUACUUUGAAAAAAUUAGAGUGUUUAAAGCAGGCUUUAGCUUGAAUACAUUAGCAUGGAAUAAUGAAAUAGGACGUUUGAUCCUAUUUUGUUGGUUUCUAGGAUUGACGUAAUGAUUAAUAGGGAUAGUUGGGGGCAUUAGUAUUCAAUUGUCAGAGGUGAAAUUCUUGGAUCUAUUGAAGACUAACUACUGCGAAAGCAUUUGCCAAGGAUGUUUUCAUUAAUCAAGAACGAAAGUUAGGGGAUCGAAGACGAUCAGAUACCGUCGUAGUCUUAACCAUAAACUAUGCCGACUAGGGAUCGGAUGAUGUUAAUUUUUUAAUGACUCAUUCGGCGCCUUACGGGAAACCAAAGUGUUUGGG
rnacentral:rRNA from 1 species